GCAACUUUGGCCGAGUGGUUAAGGCGUGUGGCUCAAGAGAUCUUCUCUUGCCUUCAAUUGAAGGUUUAGCUUUCUCAUAGACUUUGUCUGCGGGAGUUCGAAUCUCCCAGGUUGCA